rnacentral:rRNA from 1 species
UCGAGUGGCGAACGGGUGAGUAACACGUGGGUGAUCUGCCCUGUACUUUGGGAUAAGCCUGGGAAACUGGGUCUAAUACCGAAUAUGACCACUUCUUGGAUGGGGUGGUGGAAAGCUUUUGCGGUAUGGGAUGAGCUCGCGGCCUAUCAGCUUGUUGGUGGGGUAAUGGCCUACCAAGGCGUCGACGGGUAGCCGGCCUGAGAGGGUGUACGGCCACAUUGGGACUGAGAUACGGCCCAGACUCCUACGGGAGGCAGCAGUGGGGAAUAUUGCACAAUGGGCGCAAGCCUGAUGCAGCGACGCCGCGUGGGGGAUGACGGCCUUCGGGUUGUAAACUCCUUUCGCAACCGACGAAGCUUUUGUGACGGUAGGUUGAGAAGAAGCACCGGCUAACUACGUGCCAGCAGCCGCGGUAAUACGUAGGGUGCGAGCGUUGUCCGGAAUUACUGGGCGUAAAGAGCUCGUAGGUGGUUUGUCGCGUCGUUUGUGGAUACCGCAGCUUAACUGCGGGGUUGCAGGCGAUACGGGCAUAACUUGAGUGCUGUAGGGGAGACUGGAAUUCCUGGUGUAGCGGUGGAAUGCGCAGAUAUCAGGAGGAACACCGAUGGCGAAGGC